UAAUUGAAGAGUUUGAUCAUGGCUCAGAUUGAACGCUGGCGGCAGGCCUAACACAUGCAAGUCGAGCGGCAGCGGGAAG
rnacentral:rRNA from 1 species